AGAGAGGAAGAGCUGAGAAAAUCAGUCAAUGUGAUAGCUGACAUAAUUAAAGAAAACAUUGAAAAGUUAAAGAAACGGAUGGCGAAGGAGCAGAGUAAGCAGAUGAGUGGGGACUCAGGACGUGUGGGGAGUCAGCACACGUUGGACAGUGAUGGACUGUCUGCCUCAUCAGAGAAGAAAUCUGAGAAGGACC